GGUCGACGUUUGAAACUGUUAAAUCUGUUAUGCAGUUGGGUCCCUAAUUGUUGAAGUUGAAGUUGUUAAAUCUGUUGGAAUGGAUCUAAACAAAUUACAAUUAAAAACCAUUUCUUUUAAGUCGAGAAUUAUAUCAAAUUUCAAGACGUUCAGUGAGCAAUCGUACUUAAAAAAUAUGCUGAUACAUAAUAUGGAGCUUAGUUGAAGAUGUCUCAACAGAAAACAUGAGUAAGGGAAAAGAACUCGGGAACCAUGCUCGUGGGAUUCGAUCGUGCUAAAGUGUGUAUUUUAUUCAAGAUUAAACUGGAACGGUUUUUAGUAAGGGGAAAAUGAAGCUCACCCAACCAGACAGGCUGUGUGUGAGAAAUCAUGACUACCGAGGAAUCUGUUGUUGACUACAAUCUUUACCAGUGCCAGGAAUCUAUGUUAUUGAUGUAAGUGACUUUUGUGUUUAAUUCAAGUUUUCAACAUUUUCCCAUCCAUGUUCAUAGCAUUUCUUUGACCUGACAUUCAUUCAGUACUAUAUGCCACAGUGAUAUUUUAUAUUCUAAAGUGUAAAUUGUAACCAAAAAGGCCUUUUACGUUACAGUCUGAUGACUGUAAAGGUAUUAGUCACUUAUGAUAUACGUACUAUAAAUCCCACGCGCUUAAAGAUAAUAGAUUUUGGGUGGUUUCAGAGUAACUUUCUGCUUCAUAGAACCCGUUUGUAUUAGUUCAAGUCGUGAGUCAACUGCAAUGUAUUUCCGAUGUUUAGAUUAUAGGCAUACGACUCAUAUCUAGAUAACAGUUUGUCCUUGUAGAAAUAAGCGUCAUGUAUAGAGGGUUCCCUCACCAACAGUUACCUAUUCGAUUGAUACGGUCUCAUUCGCUUACCUGGGCCAAAUCGUAGUUUUUUUUCCCCCUUUCAAUCUUGCUACGUGAUACUUUUGCGCAAAUCACAUUGUUCCCGUUCAAUUUCUGCAUUAUUGUAAUCGAUUAAAACCAUGGAAAAAAUUCUAGCUUCAGCCGACUUAUUUGUGGGUCUUUUUGGCAUUCAGCUUGCAGGUAAUUUCUCGUUGUUACUAAUCCCACUUACGACGUCAACUAUAUCUAUGACCUUAUUUAUUCAUGAUGUGAAUCAAGUAUCGGCGUUGGCGAUUUAUUCUAAUUGGGUUUUAAAUUUUAAACGAAAUUAUUAGAUUGAAAUCGAGUUAAGUUGUGAUGAGCAUGGCUGUAUUCGCUUCGUUGAUUGGUUUCACGUUAAUAGGAUUGUAUUCUUGGAGUAUUGAUGGCUACCAGGGUUUGAUUGCAGACUGUGAAUUGUAUUCUAGCAAUUCAACGGUGAACAAUUCUACAAUGGUCAACAAUUCUACAGUAGAAAAAGUGUAUCCCGACAUUUUCAGUCCUCUCAAAAUAUGUGAGUGAUUUUUUUACAAUUUUGAGCGACCGAGAAUUUCAAUGAACAUCUCUUGUGUGUUGAAAAACUCGGGGUGACAGGGCGUCGAUUCUUUGAUGAUCGUUUGUGGUAUUCUGGCUUUUAUCAUCAACGGGUUCAUAGCUGCAACUGCUUCAUCUAUCACUUCCUAAAAUUUACUUAAAUCGAUCAUAAAUCUGAAGUACUUGGAUGUGUCUCUUGUUCAGUCCUAUACAAGUGCAUGAAUGAAAACUGUACAUAAAUUGUAAAAAAGGCACAAUUAAACAUUUGGUUUGAUUAACAAAUUUCCGUUCCAAUUUUUAUCUUGUAUAAUUUUGCUAAGAGUUUGUAUACGUUAUCUCAGUCUAACGGUUCUAAAUUGCGACAUAUUCCCUAUGUUUUCAGAGACAGGGUCUGUGUUUAAAAAUUCCUUUUAUCUCUGUUUAUGUUUAUCAUCAGACAUACUGGGCAUUACAAUCGCUUGAUAGUUUU